UCAGUACAAAUNAAUAUUGCUGGNGAGCUAAGGCCACACUAUAGGAGAAAAAGACCCUUCUGAAGCUUUAUAGGGAUAAAAUUCUAGGUACANCAUACCACGGCCGUUUAUAAGCUUGAUGGCCCCAAUGAAUGCGAGACCGUUGGCNNUAANGAUGCCAUGAAUNGAUCGCAGGCNGAUAACCCAUCG
rnacentral:rRNA from 1 species